rnacentral:rRNA from 1 species
CAGCCGCCGCGGUAAUACGUAGGGCGCAAGCGUUAUCCGGAAUUAUUGGGCGUAAAGAGCUCGUAGGCGGUUUGUCGCGUCUGCCGUGAAAGUCCGGGGCUCAACCCCGGAUCUGCGGUGGGUACGGGCAGACUAGAGUGAUGUAGGGGAGACUGGAAUUCCUGGUGUAGCGGUGAAAUGCGCAGAUAUCAGGAGGAACACCGAUGGCGAAGGCAGGUCUCUGGGCAUUAACUGACGCUGAGGAGCGAAAGCGUGGGGAGCAAACAGGAUUAGAUACCCCCGUAGUCCCUGUCUCUUAUAC